GGUCCUUUGGGCAGUCCUACUUUCCCUGAGCAGAAACUGUGGAAAAGAGGCAAACCAGAAUUCUAGAGGAGCUGUUCCAAUACAGGAUGAAUUUUUCAUAAGAAGCAAGUGGGUCCAAGAGGUGCAAGGGAUGGCUAUAAUAGAUGUGACACCUCACCAGCUUCUCCCCUUCAGUCCUGAAGACUCAUUCCCCCAGCUGCCAGGACUGUUGGCUGCCAACAGCUAGCAGAUAAUGCACUAACCUGAUUAAAAGGCCGGAUCUACAGCUAUCCCAUUACUGGGCAUCUACCCAAAAGAACAAA